CUCCUACGGGAGGCAGCAGUGGGGAAUAUUGCACAAUGGGCGCAAGCCUGAUGCAGCGACGCCGCGUGAGGGAUGACGGCCUUCGGGUUGUAAACCUCUUUCAGCAGGGAAGAAGCGAAAGUGACGGUACCUGCAGAAGAAGCGCCGGCUAACUACGUGCCAGCAGCCGCGGUAAUACGUAGGGCGCAAGCGUUGUCCGGAAUUAUUGGGCGUAAAGAGCUCGUAGGCGGUCUGUCGCGUCUGCUGUGAAAACCCGAGGCUCAACCUCGGGCCUGCAGUGGGUACGGGCAGACUAGAGGGCGGUAGGGGAGACUGGAAUUCCUGGUGUAGCGGUGGAAUGCGCAGAUAUCAGGAGGAACACCGAUGGCGAAGGCAGGUCUCUGGGCCGCAACUGACGCUGAGGAGCGAAAGCGUGGGGAGCGAACAGGAUUAGAUACCCGUGUAGUC
rnacentral:rRNA from 1 species